CGCGGCCUAUCAGCUUGUUGGUGGGGUAACGGCCCACCAAGGCAUUGACGGGUAGCUGGUCUGAGAGGACGAUCAGCCACACUGGGACUGAGACACGGCCCAGACUCCUGCGGGAGGCAGCAGUGGGGAAUCUUGCGCAAUGGGCGAAAGCCUGACGCAGCAACGCCGCGUGGGGGAUGAAGGCUCUCGGGUUGUAAACCCCUUUCAGCAGGGACGAAAUUGACGGUACCUGUAGAAGAAGCCCCGGCCAACUACGUGCCAGCAGCCGCGGUAACACGUAGGGGGCGAGCGUUGUCCGGAAUUAUUGGGCGUAAAGGGCUCGUAGGCGGUUCGGUAAGUCAGAUGUGAAAGGUUGGGGCUCAACCCUAAGACUGCAUUUGAUACUGCCGUGACUAGAGUCCGGUAGAGGAGUGUGGAAUUCCUGGUGUAGCGGUGAAAUGCGCAGAUAUCAGGAGGAACACCGACGGCGAAGGCAGCACUCUGGGCCGGUACUGACGCUGAGGAGCGAAAGCGUGGGUAGCAAACAGGAUUAGAUACCCUGGUAGUCCACGCCGUAAACGUUGGGCACUAGGUGUGGGACCUUAUCAACGGGUUCCGUGCCGUAGCUAACGCAUUAAGUGCCCCGCCUGGGGAGUACGG
rnacentral:rRNA from 1 species